AUUGAACGCUGGCGGCAUGCCUUACACAUGCAAGUCGAACGGUAACGCGGGGCAACCUGGCGACGAGUGGCGAACGGGUGAGUAAUGCAUCGGAACGUGCCCAGUUGUGGGGGAUAACUGCUCGAAAGAGCAGCUAAUACCGCAUACGACCUGAGGGUGAAAGCGGGGGAUCGCAAGACCUCGCGCAAUUGGAGCGGCCGAUGUCGGAUUAGCUAGUUGGUGGGGUAAAGGCCCACCAAGGCGACGAUCCGUAGCUGGUCUGAGAGGACGACCAGCCACACUGGGACUGAGACACGGCCCAGACUCCUACGGGAGGCAGCAGUGGGGAAUUUUGGACAAUGGGCGCAAGCCUGAUCCAGCCAUGCCGCGUGCGGGAAGAAGGCCUUCGGGUUGUAAACCGCUUUUGUCAGGGAAGAAAUCCUCUGGGUUAAUACCUCGGGGGGAUGACGGUACCUGAAGAAUAAGCACCGGCUAACUACGUGCCAGCAGCCGCGGUAAAAC
rnacentral:rRNA from 1 species